rnacentral:rRNA from 1 species
AGGAGUGAACGCUGGCGGGCGUGCUUAAACGACAUGCAAGUCGAACGGGGAUGCUUAUGGAAGGAGUGCUUGCACUUUGGAAAUGAGUAUCUUAGUGGCGGACGGGUGAGUAACGCGUGGGUAACCUGCCCCAUACCGGGGGAGUACCACCUGGAAACAGGUGCUAAUACCGCAUAAGCGCACGGGAGCGCAUGCUCCUGCGUGAAAAACUCCGGUGGUAUGGGAUGGACCCGCGUCUGAUUAGCCAGUUGGCAGGGUAACGGCCUACCAAGGCGACGAUCAGUAGCCGGCCUGAGGGGUGGACGGCCACAUUGGGACUGAGACACGGCCCAAACUCCUACGGGAGGCAGCAGUGGGGAAUAUUGCACAAUGGGGGAAACCCUGAUGCAGCGACGCCGCGUGAGUGAAGAAGUAUUUCGGUAUGUAAAGCUCUAUCAGCAGGAACGAGACAAGACGGUACCUGACUAAGAAGCCCCGGCUAACUACGUG